rnacentral:rRNA from 1 species
UACGGGGGGGGCAAGCGUUGUUCGGAAUUACUGGGCGUAAAGGGCUCGUAGGCGGCCAACUAAGUCGGAUGUGAAAUCCCCAGGCUUAACCUGGGAACUGCAUCCGAUACUGGAUGGCUUGAAUUCGGGAGAGGGAAGCGGAAUUCCAGGUGUAGCGGUGAAAUGCGUAGAUAUCUGGAGGAACACCGGUGGCGAAGGCGGCAUCCUGGACCGACACUGACGCUGAGGAGCGAAAGCCAGGGGAGCAAACGGG